AUAUAAAAUAUUUUUUCCUUGAAGGUCGAAAAGUCGUUCUCGAUCAAGAAGUGGAUCAGCGAAGUCCAGAUCGGCAUCCAGGUCCAGAUCUCGUUCCAGGAGUGGCUCAAGAUCUCCGUCUCCAGAAACUAGAAAAUCUGUUUCUGGCAGUGAAGGUUCUGGAAGUGGCAGUGACUAAACUACGGUCGUAUUCAAUUAUUAGUAAAAACAGUUUCAAUUUUACAAUAUGGAAACAAUAUGAUGCACUUGGAAAUUUGUCAAAUAAACUACCUAUUUAAUAUAGAUUUACUUUUUAAAUGAGAACUGAUUCCUUUGUUCUUUUUCAUUGAGUUGAGCUGGUAAUAUGUUAUUAUCAUUCUUUUGUCAUUGAAUAUGUUUAAUUUUCUUUUUUUCAAAGGAACAUCAAUGGCAAUAAUCAAUAUUGAUGACUUUAUUCAAGUUUUCUAAUAAAUGUAACUACUUUAAUUUCUAA